UACGUAGGGAGCAAGCGUUGUCCGGAUUCACUGGGCGUAAAGGGUGCGCAGGCGGGCGAGUAAGUCAGAGGUGAAAUCUCACAGCUUAACUGUGAAACUGCCUUUGAUACUGCUUUUCUUGAGUUCGGGAGAGGAUGGUGGAAUUCCCAGUGUAGAGGUGAAAUUCGUAGAUAUUGGGAAGAACACCGAUGGCGAAGGCAGCCAUCUGGACCGACACUGACGCUGAGGCGCGAAAGCGUGGGGAGCAAACAGG
rnacentral:rRNA from 1 species